CCGGAGCCAUUGUGGCUCAGGCAGGUUGCGCCUGCCCUCGGGCCCUCACGGAGGCGGGGGUUCCAGGGCACGAGUUCGAGGCCAGCCUGGUCCACAUGGGUCGGAAAAAAGGACUUUUUUUU
rnacentral:ncRNA from 1 species